UCCGUAGGGGGCAAGCGUUGUCCGGAAUCAUUGGGCGUAAAGAGCGUGUAGGUGGCCCGGUCAGUCCGCCGUGAAAGUCCAGGGCUCAACCCUGGAAUGCCGGUGGAUACUGCCGGGCUGGAGUCCGGAAGAGGCGAGUGGAAUUCCUGGUGUAGCGGUGAAAUGCGCAGAUAUCAGGAGGAACACCAAUGGCGAAGGCAGCUCGCUGGGACGGUACUGACACUGAGACGCGAAAGCGUGGGGAGCAAACAGG
rnacentral:rRNA from 1 species